rnacentral:rRNA from 1 species
GACGGAGGAUGCAAGCGUUAUCCGGAAUGAUUGGGCGUAAAGCGUCUGCAGGUGGCAGUUCAAGUCUGCUGUCAAAGACCGGGGCUUAACUUCGGAAAGGCAGUGGAAACUGAACAGCUAGAGUAGUGGUAGGGGCAGAGGGAAUUCCUGGUGUAGCGGUGGAAUGCGCAGAUAUCAGGAGGAACACCGGUGGCGAAGGCGGGUUGCUGGGCUGAUACUGACGCUGAGGCGCGACAGCGUGGGGAGCAAACAGG